AUUGAACGCUGGCGGCAGGCCUAACACAUGCAAGUCGAACGAGUGGCGGACGGGUGAGUAAUGUCUGGGAAACUGCCCGAUGGAGGGGGGUAACUACUGGACACGGUAGCUAAUACCGCAUACCAUCGGAUGUGCCCAAAUGGGAUUAGAGAGUUGGUGGGGUAAGGGCUCACAUAGGCGACGAUCCCUAGCUGGUCUGAGAGGAUGACCAGCCACACUGGGACUGAGACACGGCCCAGACUCCUACGGGAGGCAGCAGUGGGGAAUAUUGGACAAUGGGCGCAAGCCUGAUCCAGCCAUGCCGCGUGUAUGAAGAAGUCCUUCGGGUUGUAAAGUACUUUCAGCGGGGAGGCGUUACCCGCAGAAGAAGCACCGGCUAACUCCGUGCCAGCAGCCGCGGUAAUUC
rnacentral:rRNA from 1 species